UACAGAGGGUGCAAGCGUUAAUCGGAAUUACUGGGCGUAAAGGGCGCGUAGGUGGUGAUUUAAGUGAGAUGUGAAAUCCCAGGGCUUAACCUUGGAAUGGCAUUUUAUACUGGAUUGCUAGAGUACAUGAGAGGGUAGUGGAAUUUCCGGUGUAGCGGUGAAAUGCGUAGAUAUCGGAAGGAACACCAGUGGCGAAGGCGGCUACCUGGCAUGAUACUGACACUGAGGCGCGAAAGCGUGGGGAGCAAACAGG
rnacentral:rRNA from 1 species